rnacentral:rRNA from 1 species
GGUCAAGUGAAGAAGCGCAUACGGUGGAUGCCUUGGCAGUCAGAGGCGAUGAAAGACGUGGUAGCCUGCGAUAAGCUUUGGGGAGUCGGCAAACAGACUGUGAUCCAGAGAUCUCUGAAUGGGGGAACCCACUCAGCAUAAGCUGAGUAUCUUGUACUGAAUACAUAGGUGCAAGAGGCGAACCAGGGGAACUGAAACAUCUAAGUACCCUGAGGAAAAGAAAUCAACCGAGAUUCCCUUAGUAGUGGCGAGCGAACGGGGACCAGCCCUUAAGUUGAUUUGAGAUUAGUGGAACGCUCUGGAAAGUGCGGCCAUAGUGGGUGAUAGCCCCGUACACGAAAAUCUCUUGUCAAUGAAAUCGAGUAGGACGGAGCACGAGAAACUUUGUCUGAAUAUGGGGGGACCAUCCUCCAAGGCUAAAUACUACUGACUGACCGAUAGUGAACCAGUACCGUGAGGGAAAGGCGAAAAGAACCCCGGAGAGGGGAGUGAAAUAGAACCUGAAACCGUAUGCGUACAAGCAGUGGGAGCCUACUUUGUUAGGUGACUGCGUACCUUUUGUAUAAUGGGUCAGCGACUUAUAUUCAGUGGCGAGCUUAACCGAAUAGGGGAGGCGUAGCGAAAGCGAGUCUUAAUAGGGCGUUUAGUCGCUGGGUAUAGACCCGAAACCGGGCGAUCUAUCCAUGGGCAGGUUGAAGGUUAGGUAACACUGACUGGAGGACCGAACCGACUACCGUUGAAAAGUUAGCGGAUGACCUGUGGAUCGGAGUGAAAGGCUAAUCAAGCUCGGAGAUAGCUGGUUCUCCUCGAAAGCUAUUUAGGUAGCGCCUCAUGUAUCACUCCAGGGGGUAGAGCACUGUUUCGGCUAGGGGGUCAUCCCGACUUACCAAACCGAUGCAAACUCCGAAUACCUGGAAGUGCCGAGCAUGGGAGACACACGGCGGGUGCUAACGUCCGUCGUGAAAAGGGAAACAACCCAGACCGUCAGCUAAGGUCCCAAAGUCAUGGUUAAGUGGGAAACGAUGUGGGAAGGCUUAGACAGCUAGGAGGUUGGCUUAGAAGCAGCCACCCUUUAAAGAAAGCGUAAUAGCUCACUAGUCGAGUCGGCCUGCGCGGAAGAUGUAACGGGGCUCAAACCAUGCACCGAAGCUACGGGUGUCAUCUUUGAUGACGCGGUAGAGGAGCGUUCUGUAAGCCUGUGAAGGUGAGUUGAGAAGCUUGCUGGAGGUAUCAGAAGUGCGAAUGCUGACAUGAGUAACGACAAUGCGAGUGAAAAACUCGCACGCCGAAAGACCAAGGUUUCCUGCGCAACGUUAAUCGACGCAGGGUUAGUCGGUCCCUAAGGCGAGGCUGAAAAGCGUAGUCGAUGGAAAACAGGUUAAUAUUCCUGUACUUCCAGUUAUUGCGAUGGAGGGACGGAGAAGGUUAGGCCAGCCUGGCGUUGGUUGUCCAGGUUUAAGGUGGUAGGCUGAAAUCUUAGGCAAAUCCGGGAUUUCAA